UUUAUCUGGUAAAGCGAAUGAUUAGAGGUCUUGGGGCCGAAACGAUCUCAACCUAUUCUCAAACUUUAAAUGGGUAAGAAGCCCGGCUCGCUGGCUUGGAGCCGGGCAUGGAAUGCGAGCCGCCCAGUGGGCCACUUUUGGUAAGCAGAACUGGCGCUGCGGGAUGAACCGAACGCCGGGUUAAGGCGCCCGAUGCCGACGCUCAUCAGACCCCAGAAAAGGUGUUGGUUGAUAUAGACAGCAGGNCGGUGGCCAUG
rnacentral:rRNA from 1 species